rnacentral:rRNA from 1 species
GGCCGAUGGCGACCGGCGCACGGGUGAGUAACACGUAUCCAACCUGCCGUCUACUCUUGGACAGCCUUCUGAAAGGAAGAUUAAUACAAGAUGGCAUCAUGAGUCCGCAUGUUCACAUGAUUAAAGGUAUUCCGGUAGACGAUGGGGAUGCGUUCCAUUAGAUAGUAGGCGGGGUAACGGCCCACCUAGUCUUCGAUGGAUAGGGGUUCUGAGAGGAAGGUCCCCCACAUUGGAACUGAGACACGGUCCAAACUCCUACGGGAGGCAGCAGUGAGGAAUAUUGGUCAAUGGGCGAGAGCCUGAACCAGCCAAGUAGCGUGAAGGAUGACUGCCCUAUGGGUUGUAAACUUCUUUUAUAAAGGAAUAAAGUCGGGUAUGCAUACCCGUUUGCAUGUACUUUAUGAAUAAGGAUCGGCUAACUCCGUGCCAGCAGCCGCGGUAAUACGGAGGAUUCGAGCGUUAUCCGGAUUUAUUGGGUUUAAAGGGAGCGUAGAUGGAUGUUUAAGUCAGUUGUGAAAGUUUGCGGCUCAACCGUAAAAUUGCAGUUGAUACUGGAUAUCUUGAGUGCAGUUGAGGCAGGCGGAAUUCGUGGUGUAGCGGUGAAAUGCUUAGAUAUCACGAAGAACUCCGAUUGC